GUAUAUGGCCAUACCACCCUGAAUGCAUCCGAUCUUGUCUGAUCUCAGAAGCUAAGCAGGGUCAGGCCUGGUUAGUACUUAGAUGGGAGACCGCCUGGGAAUACUGGGUGCUGUAGGCU
rnacentral:rRNA from 1 species